rnacentral:rRNA from 1 species
UUGGAGGGCAAGUCUGGUGCCAGCAGCCGCGGUAAUUCCAGCUCCAAUAGCGUAUAUAAAAAUUGUUGCAGUUAAAAAGCUCGUAGUUGAAUUUCUGCUGCAUUGCUUUUGCUCCUUUACGAGUCUUUGCAUUGUGGCUUAUUUCGGACUUUGUUUUACAAUGUCCGGAUGUUUACUUUGAGAAAAUUAGAGUGCUCAAAGCAGGCUUUCGCCUUGAAUAGUUUAGCAUGGAAUAAUAAAGUAGGACUUUGGUUCUAUUUUGUUGGUUUUAGGUACCAAAGUAAUGGUUAAUAGGAACAGUUGGGGGCAUUCGUAUUUAACUGUCAGAGGUGAAAUUCUUAG